GGAUGUGAGGGGGAUCUGGCUGCGACAUCUGUCACCCCAUUGAUCGCCAGGGUUGAUUCAGCUGAUCUGGCUGGCUAGGCGGGCGUCGCCUUCCUCCCUCACCGCUCCAUGUGCUUCCCUCCCGAAGCUGUGCGCUCUGAAGAGGACGACUACCCCUGAUAGAGGAGGACCGUUUCCUGAGUCAAGGGUAUACGAGUAGCUGCGCUCCCCUGCUAGAACCUCCAAACAAAAAAUAGUUUUAUUGUGGUAUAAUUCAUAUCCUGUAAAAUUUUCCCAUUGUAAGUGUACAGUUUACUAAU
rnacentral:snRNA from 1 species